ensembl:lncRNA
CUGCAGGGCAGUCCGUCGCGGAUGCGGCCGAUGAUCCCCGCGGAGGGAUCGACGCGGCAGUACAGAGCGCCGCCCGUGGCCGCCACCGCCACCAUCCAACUGGACGGGGAGAUCGGGUACAGCCCGCACAGCACGCGGUUCUGCAACGCAAUGCAAUGCAAUGCAAUGCAAUGCAAUGCAACCCCGGGUACAGCCCGCACAGCACGCGGUUCUGCAACGGAAUGCAAUGCAAUGCAACCCCGGCCCGCACAGCACGCGGUUCUGCGGGGGGGGGACACAAUGCACCCCCAUACGGACACACGGGGACACAAUGCAAUGCAAUGCAAUGCAAUGCAACCCCGGGUACAGCCCGCACAGCACGCGGUUCUGCAAUGCAAUGCAAUGCAAUGCAAUGCAACCCCGGAUACAGCCCGCACAGCACGCGGUUCUGCAACGCAAUGCAAUGCAAUGCAAUGCAAUGCAACCCCGGGUACAGCCCGCACAGCACGCGGUUCUGCAAUGCAAUGCAAGGCAAUGCAAUGCAACCCCGGGUACAGCCCGCACAGCACGCGGUUCUGCAAUGCAAUGCAAUGCAAUGCAAUGCAAUGCAACCCCGGGUACAGCCCGCACAGCACGCGGUUCUACAACGCAAUACAACGCAAUGCAAUGCAAUGCAGUGCAAUGCAACCCCGGGUACAGCCCGCACAGCACGCGGUUCUGCAACGCAAUGCAAUGCAAUGCAAUGCAACCCCGGGUACAGCCCGCACAGCACGCGGUUCUGCAAUGCAAUGCAAUGCAAUGCAAUGCAACCCCGCACAGCACGCGGUUCUGCGGGGGGGGGGGGGGGACAUAAUGCACACCCAUAGAGACACACGGGGACACAAUGCAAUGCAAUGCAAUGCACCCCCAUACGGACAUGUGGGGACACAAUGCAAUGCAAUGCAAUGCACCCCCAUACGGACAUGUGGGGACACAAUGCAAUGCAAUGCAACCCCGCACAGCACGCGGUUCUGGGGGGGGGGGGGGGGGACACACAAUGCAAUGCAAUGCAAUGCAAUGCAAUGCAAUGCAACGCAAUGCAACCCCGCACAGCACGCGGUUCUGCGGGGGGGGGACAUAAUGCACCCCCAUACAGACACACGGGGGGACAUAGAGCUCCAUAGGGACACACAGAGGGACAGAGAGGGACAUAGGGGGACAUAGAGGUCCAUAGGGGGACAUGGAGGUCCAUAGGGGGACACAGGGGGACAGAGAGGGACAUAGGGGAACAUGGGGACAUAGAGCUCCAUAGGGGACAUAGAGAUCCAUACGGACACAGAGGGGGACAUAGAGGUCCAUAGGGGGACAUAGGGGGACAUAGGGACACAUAGGGGGACAUGGAGGUCCACAGGGGGACAUAGGGACACAUAGGGGGACACAGAGGUCCAUAGGGGGACAUAGGGGGACAUAGAGACACACAUGGGGGGACAGAGUGACCCAUUGGGACAUACACGGGGACAUAGAGGGACACAGAGGUCCAUAGGGACACACAGAGGGACAUAGAGGUCCAUAGGGGGACAUAGGGGGACACAUGGGGACAUAGAGCUCCAUAGGGACACAAAGGGGCACAUAGAGGUCCAUAGGGGGACAUAGGGGUCCAUAGGGACACACAGAGGGACAUAGAGGGACAUAGGGGGACAUAGGGGUCCAUAGGGACACACAGAGGGACAUAGGGGGACAUAGGGGGACAUAGAGCUCCAUAGGGACACACAGAGGGACAGAGAGGUCCAUAGCGACACAGAGGGGGACAUAGAGGGACAUAGGGGGACAUAGGGGGACAUAGGGGUCCAUAGGGACACACAGAGGGACAUAGGGGGACAUAGGGGGACAUAGAGCUCCAUAGGGACACACAGAGGGACAGAGAGGUCCAUAGCGACACAGAGGGGGACAUAGAGGGACAUAGGGGUCCAUACAGACACACAUGGGGACAGAGAGGUCCAUAGGGGGACAUAGGGGGACACAGAGGUCCAUAGGGACACAGAGGGACAUAGAGGGACACAUGGGGACAUAGGGGUCCAUAGGGACACAAAGGGGGACAGAGAGGUCCAUAGGGACGCAUGGGGACACAUGGAGAUCCACAGUGCCCCAUAGUGACACAUAGCGACACAUGGGACACAUGGGGUCACAUAGGGACACACGGGGACCCAUAGGGACCCAUAGGGAGCCAUAGGGAGCCAUAGGGACACAUAGGGACACAUAGGGACCCAUAGGGACCCAUAGGGAGCCAUAGGGACACACAGGGACCCAUAGGGACACAUAGGGACCCAUAGGGAGCCAUAGGGACACAUAGGGACCCAUAGGGACACAUAGGGACCCAUAGGGACCCAUAGAGAGCCAUAGGGACACAUAGGGACACGUAGGGAGCCAUAGGGACACGUAGGGAGCCAUAGGGACACAUAGGGACACAUAGGGACCCAUAGGGAGCCAUAGGGACACACAGGGACCCAUAGGGACACAUAGGGACCCAUAGGGAGCCAUAGGGACACAUAGGGACCCAUAGGGACACACAGGGACCCAUAGGGAGCCAUAGGGACACACAGGGACCCAUAGGGACACAUAGGGACCCAUAGGGACACACAGGGACCCAUAGGGAGCCAUAGGGACACACAGGGACCCAUAGGGACACAUAGGGACCCAUAGGGGCACAUAGCGACACACAGCACCCCAUAUAUCGCCACCUAUUGCCCCAUAUCCCCCAUAUAACGCCCCCUAUCGCCCCCUAUCCCCAUAUAUCGCCCCCAUCCCCAUAUAUCGCCCGCUAUGCCCAUAUAUCGCCCCUUUUGCCCCGUCUCCAUAUAUCACCCCCUAUGGCCCCCUAUCCCUAUAUACCGCCCCCUAUCCCCAUAUAUCGCCCCCUAUCGCCCCCUAUCCCCAUAUAUCGCCCCCUAUUACCCCCUAUCCCCAUAUAUUGCCCCCUAUCCCCCAUAUAUCGCCCCCUAUGGCCAUAUAUCGCCCCCUAUCCCUAUAUAUCGCCCCCUAUGGCCAUAUAUCGCCCCCUAUGGCCAUAUAUCGCCCCCUAUGGCCAUAUAUCACCCCCUAUCCCCAUAUACCGCCCCCUAUCCCACAUAUAUCACCCCCUAUGGCCCCCUAUCCCCAUAUAUUGCCCCCUAUGCCCCAUAUAUCGCCCCCUAUGGCCCCCUAUCCCUAUAUAUCGCCCCCUAUCCCCAUAUAUCGCCCCCUAUACCCCACAUAUCACCCCCUAUGGCCAUACACCGCCCCCUCUGGCCAUAUAUUGCCCCCUAUGGCCAUACAUCACCCCAUAUAUCGCCAUAUACCGCCCUCUAUUGCCAUAUAUCACCCCCUAUCCCCCAUAUAUCGCCCUCUAUCACCCCCUAUCCCCCAUAUAUUGCCCCCUAUGGCCCCAUAUCCCCAUAUAUCGCCCCCUCUUUCCAUAUAUCGCCCCCUAUCCCCCAUAUAUCACCCCCUAUCGCCCUCUAUCCCCCAUAUAUCACCCCCUAUGGCCAUAUAUCACCCCCUAUCCCCCAUAUAUCGCCCCCUAUGGCCAUAUAUCCCCCCUUUCGCCAUAUACCGCCCCCCUAUCGCCAUAUAUCGCCCCCUAUGGCCAUAUAUCCCCCCCUAUCCC